rnacentral:rRNA from 1 species
GAUGAACGCUGGCGGCGUGCCUAAUACAUGCAAGUCGAGCGAACGGACGAGAAGCUUGCUUCUCUGAUGUUAGCGGCGGACGGGUGAGUAACACGUGGAUAACCUACCUAUAAGACUGGGAUAACUUCGGGAAACCGGAGCUAAUACCGGAUAAUAUUUUGAACCGCAUGGUUCAAAAGUGAAAGACGGUCUUGCUGUCACUUAUAGAUGGAUCCGCGCUGCAUUAGCUAGUUGGUAAGGUAACGGCUUACCAAGGCAACGAUGCAUAGCCGACCUGAGAGGGUGAUCGGCCACACUGGAACCGAGACACGGUCCAGACUCCUACGGGAGGCAGCAGUAGGGAAUCUUCCGCAAUGGGCGAAAGCCUGACGGAGCAACGCCGCGUGAGUGAUAAAGGUCUUCGGAUCGUAAAACUCUGUUAUUAGGGAAGAACAUAUGUGUAUGUAACUGUGCACAUCUUGACGGUACCUAAUCAGAAAGCCACGGCUAACUACGUG